rnacentral:rRNA from 1 species
CCUACGGGAGACAGCAGUGGGGAAUAUUGGGCAAUGGGCGCAAGCCUGACCCAGCAAUGCCGCGUGAAGGAAGAAGGCUUUCGGGUUGUAAACUUCUUUGACAGGGGAAGAGCAGAAGACGGUACCCUGAAAACAAGCCACGGCUAACUACGUGCCAGCAGCCGCGGUAAUACGUAGGUGGCAAGCGUUGUCCGGAUUUAUUGGGUGUAAAGGGCGUGUAGCCGGGAAGGCAAGUCAGAUGUGAAAUCUGGAGGCUCAACCUCCAAAUUGCAUUUGAAACUGUUGUUCUUGAGUACUGGAGAGGCAGACGGAAUUACUUGUGUAGCGGUGAAAUGCGUAGAUAUAAGGAGGAACACCAGUGGCGAAGGCGGUCUGCUGGACAGCAACUGACGGUGAGGCGCGAAAGCGUGGGGAGCAAACAGGAUUAGAUACCCGUGUAGUC